rnacentral:rRNA from 1 species
AGCGAACGCUGGCGGCGUGCCUAACACAUGCAAGUCGAACGUGAAUGGGAGCAAUCCCUAGUAAAGUGGCGUACGGGUGAGUAACACGUAGGUAAUCUACCUUAGAGUCUGGAAUAACCUGCCGAAAGGCGGGCUAAUACUGGAUAGAGCGACGGAAUCCGUAAUUGGGUUUUUCGGGAAAGGGAGCUAGCAAUAGCCCUCGCUCUAGGAUGAGCCUGCGUCCCAUUAGCUAGUUGGUGGGGUAACGGCCCACCAAGGCUGUGAUGGGUAGCUGGUCUGAGAGGAUGAGAAGCCACACUGGAACUGAAACACGGUACAGACUCCGACGGGAGGCAGCAGUGGGGAAUCUUGCGCAAUGGACGGAAGUCUGACGCAGCCACGCCGCGUGAGUGAUGAAGGCCUUCGGGUUGUAAAGCUCUGUCGCCCGGGACGAAAACCCGGUCGGUGAAUAGCCGAUCGGAUUGACGGUACCGGGAGAGGAAGCACCGGCUAACUCCGUGCCAGCAGCCGCCGUAAUAC